rnacentral:lncRNA from 1 species
CAAAUGCUCUGGGGACCUAGGAGGACACACAGAGAGGGAGGUAGUCCAGCACCCCCAUCAGCUCAUCCACGCCGCCCGCCGCAAGCCCAUUCUGUGAGAGGAGAACCGUGCUAAGUGAGGGUGCCUGCAGGAGGACCACGAGGUGAGGCCACCCAGACUCACAACAGGCCCAUCCCUGCCAGGCAAGACCACAGGCAAAGGCACCAUCUAGACCUGGCAUUCCACAAAGGAGGACAGAAUUCCCAGAGCUUCCUAGUUUUGUCUUCAUUUUGUUCUUCUAUUUUCUCCCCAACCCAUCAUCCACCUGGGAAAAACCAAACUCCCCACAGGUGAAAAGUUCCAUCAGGAAAGGGCAAACUCAAAGUCAGAGCAAGAUCAGAAAUACCUGGUGUGAUUCUGAAGCUCACACUGAGGGACAGGAGACUUACUCCCAAAGACUUGAGGAAUCGCUUUUUCCCAAAGAAAAUCAGGUCCAACAGGGAAAUACAAUUAACCCUGUAUUUAAGGCCCCAGAUGGGCCUCGGAACCUUCAUGUGAUCCUAUUUUAUUAGCUUUUCUCUUGCUGUGUUUGCCCUAAGAUAAGCAUUCCUAGAGAAAGAGUAUGAGUGGGUCCUGCCACCUGAGUAUUUAAAGACAUCUCCCACGCACCCAAC